GUUCUAGAUCUGUUCCUGUGUGGAGCUCCCAUGGUAAGCAGUUCAGGAAAAGAGGUUGACUGGAAGAGCAGGCAGUCUCCAUGCGAGAGACAAGCGUUGCUGUGUUUGUGUUUGUAAUGUUUAAAAUUGUUAGAGUUACACGUUACUUAAUGUUUUUUGAAUGUUUCUCUACCGAGCCCUCGCCGACAGAGCCCCAGAUAACUCAGUGACAUCACCAAAGUACGUUUUGUCACGCGAGAACAAAACAGGAUGUGAUGAAGUUCCCCAGCGGUAAACUUUACUUGUCAACAUGGAUGUAUGACAGCUUGGAGCUCUGCAGGUCGUUUGUGCCCUGCUCUGCGCUGAGAAGAAACAGAAAAGAAGAAAAGGAUUUGGGUGAAGGAAUGGGUUGCUGCACGCAGAUUGCACAGGUUGUCAACUCUGCAAAGAGAGUUGGAGUUGAAUGAUCGAACGGGUUUUCGGGAAAUGCUACGGAUGACAGCGGAGGACUUUGAUUUCUUGCUGGGGCUGUUAGAGCCGCACAUCGCAAGGAGACCACCAGAUUUAGGCUUGCCAUAUCCCCUAGAGAACGUCUGUCCUUGACCCUGAGCUAUCUGGCUACAGGAGAAACAUUCUGGUCCCUCCGCUUCCAGUACAGGAUUGGGACCAGCACAAUAUCCGCUAUCGUCAUGGAAACGUGCGGCUUUGUACGAUACUAUGAAGAAUUAUUUCUUGAAGACACCUUCAACAGAGGCAGAACGGCAGGCAAUAGCCCACGGCUUUUCCCACCAAUGGCAGUUUCCACAUUGCCUUGGGGCUUUAGAUAAUAAGCACAUCCAGAUACAGCCUCCAGCAAAAAGUGGCAGCACAUACCUGAACUACAAGGGCAGGUUCUCUGUGGUGCUGAUGGCUGUUGUGGAUGCACGGUACAGAUUCAUCUACACCAGUGUGGGGACCCAGGGCAGAGCGUCAGAUGCAGGGAUUUUUGCACAUUAAGACCUGCGCAGAGCAAUGGACCAGGGCCUGUUGAAUACCCCUCUCCUCAACCAUUGCCCAACUCUGACAUCCUGAUGCCCUACAUGUUUGUGGGUGAUGAGGCAUACCCUUUGCGGAAUGACCUCAUGAAGCCCUACCCCUACCGACAGAUGGACUAUGGCAGGGGUUAGGGAUGUAACGAUUACCGAUAUUACAGUAAAUCUCGGUUAAUUUUUACACGGUAAGAAUUACCGUUUAUGUUUAAAUUAAUUGCAUUAUCGCGGUGGAUUAUCAGGAUAUGUAAUAACAGCCUCAUCCAAGUCUCGCGACGCAGGCGCUGCGUGAAAGCAUAGCUUGUGUAAACACAAAGAAUGAAAACAUGGCGGAAGGUGGUGACAGCGGCACUCAGGACAUUUUCCCCCCAACUAAACGCACAAAAUCUGAGGUCUGGGCGUACUUUGGGUUUCUGAAGAAUGCAGAGGGACAGCUGGUGGAGGACAACUAUCCUGUGUGCAGAGCAUGCAGAAAGAAAUUUGCUGCGAAGGGUAGCGACACUACAAAUCUGCUGGCUCAUCUCCGUGACCAUCAUCCACAGCUUUACAGCCAAUGCAAGUUAUGCUAUGCAAAUGUCAGUUAUUGUGUGAGGGACUUCGGUUAAUAAAAAUAAAAGCCAUUGUCAUUGUU